rnacentral:lncRNA from 1 species
AGGUGUAGAGACAGACUGCUCAAUGCCCAGUGGCUCGUUGGUCUAGGGGUAUGAUUCUCGCUUAGGGUGCGAGAGGUCCCGGGUUCAAAUCCCGGACGAGCCCACUUUGGAGCUUCUCCUUUGUUCCUAUUCUGCAAUUCAAACUUGGUCCAACGCUUUUGUGCGUUAGAUCACUUGCACUGAAAGGAGGCGUUGCUUCUGAGUUGACUCCAAUGGGCUGUGCUGCUGGGAGAUCUGUCUUGGUCCAACGCUUUGUGCGUUAGAUCACUUGCACUGAAAGGAGGCGUUGCUUCUGAGUUGACUCCAAUGGGCUGUGCUGCUGGGAGAUCUGUCAGAAAGGGCUUUUUAGAAAACUUCAUGGCCCUUGUGAACCUUCUUUUCAUAUUUGCAUCCGAUGGAUUGUUGGUUUUGGGGUAUGUGUUUUUUUUUUGUUCGUUUUUUUUUUUGCUUCAGGUGUUAGAGGUCUAGUGUUCAAAUCCGUAACGAGUCCCCUUGCAGCUUCGAAACCACUUUUUUUUAAGGAGCGGCCUUUCGUCCUGCUUUUUUUGGCACAAUUUCAAGCAUUGUUAGGUACUUGUUGUCUAUCGAUAUCGACGUCUCGUACUUCUACUUGGUCUAUUACCUGCGGGUUGCGUUAGGUUAAACCGUUAGCUCGGUCGGUUAUGGUCUUGUGCCCCAAUGCCGAAAUAGCUCAGUUGGGAGAGCGUUAGACUGAAGAUCUAAAGGUCCCUGGUUCGAUCCCGGGUUUCGGCAGUGUGGAGCCUGCUGUCCUUUUUGGUCUACAUUCUGAUGAUCACUGGCCAGUUACUUUUUCAUUCACUCCUACUGAGUCAUUCCUACACUGCACGAGGCAGACGUUCCUGCCGAUUCUAGUGCCCAUGGUGUAACGGUUAGCACUCUGGAUUCUGAAUCCUUUGAACCUGCUAGCUUUUGACCAUCAGUGCUUGGCAAAUUGCAGCCUACGUAACAACCUUCUCUGUGGCAGCGUGUUUUAAAAGGGAGUGUCACGGUGGCCUCCUUUAACCGUGCAACUUUGAUGAAUCAGUCAUGAUGAGUGUUCCCAAAGAAUCCAGAAGAGACAUUAAACUGAACAGGAACAACAUAGAACUAAACUGAGCAGAAUGGUGCCACCGUUACCUUCUGCUAAGAAGACAGUUUCUCUUGAGCGAAAACAGCAUGAUGUGUGUGGCAGUACCGCAAUGUAGCCUUCUGCUGUUUAAUUCAGCUCGUAUAUUUUGUUGUAGACAUUUUAAUCAAGAUUUUACUCCGAAGGCAGUACGAUCUAGGGCAAUUAUGCCAAAAUCGAGUUUCUCAGAAAUCCAGCCAGUUGCAUGAGCCCUCUUUCUGCACUUGCCAGGUGUAGAGACAGACUGCUCAAUGCCCAGUGGCUUGUUGGUCUAGGGGUAUGAUUCUCGCUUAGGGUGCGAGAGGUCCCGGGUUCAAAUCCCGGACGAGCCCACUUUGGAGCUUCUCCUUUGUUCCUAUUCUGCAAUUCAAACUUGGUCCAACGCUUUGUGCGUUAGAUCACUUGCACUGAAAGGAGGCGUUGCUUCUGAGUUGACUCCAAUGGGCUGUGCUGCUGGGAGAUCUGUCAGAAAGGGCUUUUUAGAAAACUUCAUGGCCCUUGUGAACCUUCUUUUCAUAUUUGCAUCCGAUGGAUUGUUGGUUUUGGGGUAUGUGUUUUUUUUUGUUCGUUUUUUUUGCUUCAGGUGUUAGAGGUCUAGUGUUCAAAUCCGUAACGAGUCCCCUUGCAGGUUUUGGGGGUAUGUGUUUUUUUUUUGUUCGUUUUUUUUGCUUCAGGUGUUAGAGGUCUAGUGUUCAAAUCCGUAACGAGUCCCCUUGCAGCUUCGAAACCACUUUUUUUUAAGGAGCGGCCUUUCGUCCUGCUUUUUUUUGGCUCAAUUUCAAGCAUUGUUAGGUACUUGUUGUCUAUCGAUAUCGACGUCUCGUACUUCUACUUGGUCUGUUACCUGCGGGUUGCGUUAGGUUAAACCGUUAGCUCGGUCGGUUACGGUCUUGUGCCCCAAUGCCGAAAUAGCUCAGUUGGGAGAGCGUUAGACUGAAGAUCUAAAGGUCCCUGGUUCGAUCCCGGGUUUCGGCAGUGUGGAGCCUGCUGUCCUUUUUGGUCUACAUUCUGAUGAUCACUGGCCAGUUACUUUUUCAUUCACUCCUACUGAGUCAUUCCUACACUGCAGGAGGGCAGACGUUCCUGCCGAUUCUAGUGCCCAUGGUGUAACGGUUAGCACUCUGGAUUCUGAAUCCUUUGAACCUGCUAGCUUUUGACCAUCAGUGCUUGGCAAAUUGCAGCCUACGUAAUAUGAUUCUCGCUUAGGGUGCGAGAGGUCCCGGGUUCAAAUCCCGGACGAGCCCACUUUGGAGCUUCUCCUUUGUUCCUAUUCUGCAAUUCAAACUUGGUCCAACACUUUGUGCGUUAGAUCACUUGCACUGAAAGGAGGCGUUGCUUCUGAGUUGACUCCAAUGGGCUGUGCUGCUGGGAGAUCUGUCAGAAAGGGCUUUUUUAGAAAACUUCAUGGCCCUUGUGAACCU